GACGAACGCUGGCGGCGCGCUUAACACAUGCAAGUCGAGCGAGAACCAGUCCUUCGGGACUGGGGACAGCGGCGAACGGGUGAGUAACACGUGGGUAAUCUGCCCUCGGCGCCGGAAUAGCCCGGGGAAACCCGGAUUAAUGCCGGAUGGCCUCUCUACCCCUCGGGGCGGUGAGAAAAGGUAGCUUCGGCCUCUGGCCGAGGAUGAGCCCGCGGCCGAUUAGCUUGUUGGUGGGGUAACGGCUCACCAAGGCGACGAUCGGUAGCUGGUCUGAGAGGACGAUCAGCCACACUGGGACUGAGACACGGCCCAGACUCCUACGGGAGGCAGCAGUGGGGAAUCUUGCGCAAUGGGCGAAAGCCUGACGCAGCGACGCCGCGUGCGGGAAGAAGGCCUUCGGGUUGUAAACCGCUUUCAGGAGGGACGAAGCCACUCGGGUGAAUAGCCUAGAGGGUGACGGUACCUCCAGAAGAAGCCCCGGCUAACUACGUGCCAGCAGCCGCCGCAG
rnacentral:rRNA from 1 species